rnacentral:rRNA from 1 species
GAUGAACGCUGGCGGCGUGCCUAAUACAUGCAAGUCGAGCGAACGGACGAGAAGCUUGCUUCUCUGAUGUUAGCAGCGGACGGGUGAGUAACACGUGGAUAACCUACCUAUAAGACUGGGAUAACUUCGGGAAACCGGAGCUAAUACCGGAUAAUAUUUUGAACCGCAUGGUUCAGAAGUGAAAGACGGUCUUGCUGUCACUUAUAGAUGGAUCCGCGCUGCAUUAGCUAGUUGGUAAGGUAACGGCUUACCAAGGCAACGAUGCAUAGCCGACCUGAGAGGGUGAUCGGCCACACUGGAACUGAGACACGGUCCAGACUCCUACGGGAGGCAGCAGUAGGGAAUCUUCCGCAAUGGGCGAAAGCCUGACGGAGCAACGCCGCGUGAGUGAUGAAGGUCUUCGGAUCGUAAAACUCUGUUAUUAGGGAAGAACAUAUGUGUAAGUAACUGUGCACAUCUUGACGGUACCUAAUCAGAAAGCCACGGCUAACUACGUG